rnacentral:lncRNA from 1 species
GAAAAAUCUGGGCUGCUCAUUUUAUUUGAUAAGCUGGAUAGUGAACAUUUCAAAAACUCAAUCUAAGACUCGUGACUUGGCUGCUAGGGAGCAGGGACAAGGGAAAGUACCCAGUUUUCCAGUACUAAAGGACUAAACCCUAAGGGCUGUCCCUGGGCAUUGUGGAACUGUCCCAUGUUGUUCAGUAGGAGUCUGUCCCCUGAACCAAGAGCCAUUGUGUGCCAGGUGCUGCAUAAGGGGAAGACAUCAGCUUGAAAGGGGCCUGGGCCAUAAAGCAUCUCCUCAUGACAGUUACACAUUUCUUUCUCACUGGGAAUAGCAAGCAGAUGUACCCAGAUUCUGCACCCCACAGUAAUUUUGGAGAGAAGUUGGGCAGA